UACGUAGGGUGCAAGCGUUAAUCGGAAUUACUGGGCGUAAAGCGUGCGCAGGCGGCUAUGCAAGACAGAUGUGAAAUCCCCGGGCUCAACCUGGGAACUGCAUUUGUGACUGCAUAGCUAGAGUACGGUAGAGGGGAUGGAAUUCCGCGUGUAGCAGUGAAAUGCGUAGAUAUGCGGAGGAACACCGAUGGCGAAGGCAAUCCCCUGGACCUGGUACUGACGC
rnacentral:rRNA from 1 species